rnacentral:rRNA from 1 species
UCGAGAAUUUUUCUCAAUGGGCGAAAGCCUGAAGGAGCGACGCCGCGUGGGGGAUGAAGGGCUUCGGUCCGUAAACCCCUGUCAUUUGCGAACAAACCUUACGAAUGAACAAUUCGUGAGCUGAUUGUAGCGAAAGAGGAAGGGACGGCUAACUCUGUGCCAGCAGCCGCGGUAAUACAGAGGUCCCGAGCGUUGUUCGGAUUCACUGGGCGUAAAGGGUGCGCAGGUGGCCUGUCAAGUUUGAUGUGAAAGCCCCGGGCUUAACCCGGGAAUGGCAUUGAAUACUGAUGGGCUGGAGGAUUGGAGGGGGGACUGGAAUUCUUGGUGUAGCAGUGAAAUGCGUAGAUAUCAAGAGGAACACCAGUGGCGAAGGCGAGUCCCUGGACAAUACCUGACACUGAGGCACGAAAGCCAAGGGAGCAAACAG